rnacentral:rRNA from 1 species
UACGUAGGGGGCUAGCGUUGUCCGGAAUCAUUGGGCGUAAAGAGCGCGUAGGCGGCCAGAUAAGUCCGGUGUGAAAGUCAAAGGCUCAACCUUUGAAUGCCGCUGGAAACUGUCUGGCUAGAGUCCGGGAGGGGCGAGUGGAAUUCCCAGUGUAGAGGUGAAAUUCGUAGAUAUUGGGAAGAACACCAGUGGCGAAGGCGGCUAACUGGUCCAGCACUGACGCUGAGGUGCGAAAGCGUGGGGAGCAAACAGG